rnacentral:ribozyme from 14 species
GGCAAGUAAUAUGGAAGGGAAACAGUGAUCAGAAAUAUUUGUCUGACCUGUGCUCAAGUUAUCAGUUUUAAUUGCCACCAUUUAGCUUUUUCAUUUCUUCUUUUUUCUUCUGUUCUUCCCUGUACUUCUUUCUCAAUGCUGCCAUUUC